rnacentral:rRNA from 1 species
UACGUAGGGCGCAAGCGUUGUCCGGAAUUAUUGGGCGUAAAGAGCUCGUAGGCGGCUUGUCGCGUCUGUUGUGAAAGCCCGGGGCUUAACCCCGGGUCUGCAGUGGAUACGGGCAGGCUAGAGGCAGGUAGGGGAGAACGGAAUUCCCGGUGUAGCGGUGAAAUGCGCAGAUAUCAGGAGGAACACCGGUGGCGAAGGCGGGUCUCUGGGCCGAUACUGACGCUGAGGAGCGAAAGCGUGGGGAGCGAACAGG